AGUGAACGCUGGCGGUAGGCCUAACACAUGCAAGUCGAACGGCAGCACAGUAAGAGCUUGCUCUUACGGGUGGCGAGUGGCGGACGGGUGAGGAAUACAUCGGAAUCUACUUUUUCGUGGGGGAUAACGUAGGGAAACUUACGCUAAUACCGCAUACGACCUACGGGUGAAAGCAGGGGAUCUUCGGACCUUGCGCGAUUGAAUGAGCCGAUGUCGGAUUAGCUAGUUGGCGGGGUAAAGGCCCACCAAGGCGACGAUCCGUUGCUGGUCUGAGAGGAUGAGCAACACCACUGGAACGGCACCGCGGACAAGACUCCUAGGGGAGGCAGCAGGGGAGAAUAUUGGACAGUGGGCACAAGCCUGAUCCAGCCAUGCCGCGUGGGUGAAGAAGGCCUUCGGGUUGUAAAGCCCUUUUGUUGGGAAAGAAAAGCAGCAGGUUAAUACCCCGCUGUGCUGACGGUACCCAAAGAAUAAGCACCGGCUAACGUC
rnacentral:rRNA from 1 species